rnacentral:rRNA from 1 species
UACGUAGGGGCAAGGCGUUGUCCGGAUUUAUUGGGCGUAAAGGGCGCGUAGGCGGUUUCUUAAGUUUGGAGUGACAGUGGGUGGCUUAACUACCCAAGGCCUCUGAAAACUGGGGAACUUGAGGACCAGAGAGGGACAUAGAAUUCCGGGUGGAGUGGUGAAAUGCGUAGAUAUCCGGAGGAAUACCAAAGGCGAAGGCAGUGUCCUGGAGGGUGACUGACGCUGAGGCGCGAAAGCUAGGGGAGCGAACAGG